rnacentral:lncRNA from 1 species
GGAGCAUCAGGGGAAGCGGUCGGUGGUCGAGAUGUUCUCAUCCUUUUAUCUGACAAUCAUCGGGAUAAAUUUUUUUGGUAAAAUCCUUCUUUCUUUUUCUCUCUUCUUUUCUCUUUUUUUUUAGCCGACUUAUCUUUUGUCUGUAGUUGAUCCAUGAUAUGUCUGAUCUAGAGGCUGGCUACACAAAGUUCACCGACAUUCGGAGU